rnacentral:tRNA from 1 species
GCGGGGUGGAGCAGCCUGGUAGCUCGUCGGGCUCAUAACCCGAAGGUCGUCGGUUCAAAUCCGGNCCCCCGNCAACCA